GCUUCUGCUCGGACAUCUUCAGGUUAUGUGGCAGCACAACUAUAACUUUAAUGGCAUGAUUUCCUCUCUUCAGAUUUCUAGUUAUUAAAAAGUGAAGAUUUAUGUUAAUCUGAAGAGAAAGGGAUUUCCAAAGCUCAUUUUCAAAUGAGCUUUCUGUUCUCUUCAUGGCCAUUAAUAUAGAAAUAAAGGAAUUUACUAAAAAUGUAGCUUCCGGCCGUUUUAGUGACAGAGCUCAGUCGUCUUGGCUGAGAAGUGCCUGUCAGUUACUGAUGAAGCCUGUCAGGCCUGGUGUUGUUUGGAAAGACUCAGGAGCUGCUCGGCUGGAAGUGGGUUCCAGUCCUACAAGAUUUCAGCAAUAAGGGCACACUCUGGGGCUUUGUGCCAUUUGUGGAUGAACAGCAACCAACUGAAAUACCAAUUCCAAUUACCCUUCAUAUUGGAGACUACAAUAUGGAUGGCUAUCCAGACGCUCUGGUCAUACUAAAGAACACAUCUGGAAGCAACCAGCAGGCCUUUUUACUGGAGAACGUCCCUUGUAAUAACGCAAGCUGUGAAGAGGCGCGUCGAAUGUUUAAAGUCUACUGGGAGCUGACAGACCUAAAUCAAAUUAAGGAUGCCAUGGUUGCCACCUUCUUUGACAUUUACGAAGAUGGAAUCUUGGACAUUGUAGUGCUAAGUAAAGGAUAUACAAAGAAUGAUUUUGCCAUCCAUACACUAAAAAAUAACUUUGAAGCAGAUGCUUAUUUUGUUAAAGUUAUUGUUCUUAGUGGUCUGUGUUCUAAUGACUGUCCUCGUAAGAUAACACCCUUUGGAGUGAAUCAACCUGGACCUUAUAUCAUGUAUACAACUGUAGAUGCAAAUGGGUAUCUGAAAAAUGGAUCAGCUGGCCAACUCAGCCAAUCCGCACAUUUAGCUCUCCAACUACCAUACAACGUGCUUGGUUUAGGUCGGAGCGCAAAUUUUCUUGACCAUCUCUAUGUUGGUAUUCCCCGUCCAUCUGGAGAAAAAUCUAUACGAAAACAAGAGUGGACUGCAAUCAUUCCAAAUUCCCAGCUAAUUGUCAUUCCAUACCCUCACAAUGUCCCUCGAAGUUGGAGUGCCAAACUGUAUCUUACACCAAGUAAUAUUGUUCUGCUUACUGCUAUAGCUCUCAUCGGUGUCUGUGUUUUCAUCUUGGCAAUAAUUGGCAUUUUACAUUGGCAGGAAAAGAAAGCAGAUGAUAGAGAAAAACGACAAGAAGCCCACCGGUUUCAUUUUGAUGCUAUGUGACUUGCCUUUAAUAUUACAUAAUGGAAUGGCUGUUCACUUGAUUAGUUGAAACACAAAUUCUGGCUUGAAAAAAUAGGGGAGAUUAAAUACUAUUUAUAAAUGAUGUAUCCCAUGGUAAUUAUUGGAAAGUAUUCAAAUAAAUAUGGUUUGAAUAUGUCACAAGGUCUUUUUUUUUUAAAGCACUUUGUAUAUAAAAAUUUGGGUUCUCUAUUCUGUAGUGCUGUACAUUUUUGUUCCUUUGUGGAAUGUGUUGCAUGUACUCCAGUGUUUGUGUAUUUAUAAUCUUAUUAGCAUCAUGAUGAUGGAAAAAGUUGUGUAAAUAAAAAUAAUUAAAUGAGCAGGAAUUUUUGUGUCCACUUGACUUGGUCUUGCUUCUUAUUCUAAUGAUGCAAAUUAUACUUUUGUGAAUAUAUCACGGAGUCAUUAUGCAUUCAGCUUCAUCACAGCAGGUCAGGGGUCUCACUGAUGGCAUACAAUAUAGUGAUCGGGUACUCUGACUUGGUAGCACAGUAAGACAGACUUGCCUUAAACUCCUAAUUCAACCACUUACAAAGUCAUUGUUUGAACUUGGCUCUUGUUUAACCUCUGUAAGCCUCAGUUUUCUUGUUUAUUCAGUGGGGCUAAUACUUGAGUUACUGUAAACAUUAAAUGGGCUGAUGUAUGUGAAGUGCUUAGCUUGGUGCCUAGCACAGAGUAAGUGGUCAAUAUGUGGUAGUUGUCAUUAUUAAUAUUUUAGAUGAUCUUAUUAGACUUAUACAUCUAAUUAUAGAAAUAUAUAGACUUGAUAGAAUUUUAUUUUCAGGCAUGAAGAAAUAUUCUUUGGAAAAGCUAAAUUUUUGGUGAUUGACAUAAAGAUUUACUUGCUCAUAUUAACUAAAAAUUAUAGUACUCUCCAAGAAUUAAUGUGCCCUAAAAAUUUUCCUCCAAAAACUUAUCCUUAUCAUGUGAUAAUGAAGAACAUUUGAUUUCUUGAAAGGAAACUGCUGUAGGCAGCAUCUGGGAAUGCAAAUCUUCAAUCACAUUUCUAUUCUCAAACGCUUGGAGAAGUCUAUAAUUUACAUUCAGACUUCAAUGCAAAUUUUGUAUUGUGAACUUCACAUUUCCAAAAAGUUACUUUAAAAAGACUUUAAGACUGAGAAAAAAAAGUUUAUCAAUGCUAAUAAUUUUCUAGUAUGCAAAUGGACAUGUGAUGCCUAUAAAACACAAAAAUUUCUCUGAAAACAAUUUUGUUCUUAUUUUUUUCUUUAUAGUUCACUGAGAUUGGCAUGUGUUUUUACUUUGUAUCUAAGCAUGUUAACAUGUCUUCUUAAUAAAUAUUCCUUAUUGAAACAAA
rnacentral:sRNA from 1 species